UCUAUCUAUCUAUCUAUCUAUUUUAUAGCAACUAUUAUCUAUUUAUCAUUGAUCAGUCUAUCAUCUCUGUGUUUUGCCUGUAAAUGGCAGUGAAACAAAAGAUGUCUGUAUGACCAACUCUCUGAAACAUGUGUCACCUUGGGAAAUUAUUCUGUACUUUUCAAAUAUCUGUGGUCCAAGGCAGUGUCUUCCGUUCUUUGCCCCAACAUCAGUAUGGAACUUUCUCUUUCUCAACAGUGAAUGACUCUGUGAUCAUCUUGUGGAGGGAAUCACCAGUCUCCAGGCACAGCGCAACAUCAUAGCCUCCUCCAUGUUUCCAGCCUCUGCACCUCUAUGUUUCUAUGUAUCUCCAGGUUCAGAUCACAGGCCAUGCCUUUCACGGGGGCAGCACAUGUGUGAUGGAACAGAACACUUCAAAUAGCCUGGAGAAGACAAGGGUUUCUUUUCCAUGCUCAGGCCUUCAUAGGAUAUUGAAGUCAACUGUAAAGCCUCUGAGAUGAAUAUCAAAGAGUCAGUGUCAGACCGGGCAAAUUCAAAAAGUUUCUAUAGUAAGACACCAAUCUUGGAGAUAGUUAUCCCUUCCAUGUCUCCUUCUGUCAUUAAAAACAGCCCAAUGAGGUAGACCUGGGAGGCUCCUGGGGGACCAAAUAAGAAGUCAGGCAAAUGGGCAUGAUAGAGGACCUGUUUUCCAACUGGCUUGUUUUCUUGUGAGUUGAGGGAACUAUAAACAAUUAGGAGAGACUUCCCUGAGCUCAACACGCAGGAGACUAUAGAAUCUUUUAGAGCAAAGCACCAAAAAAUAAUAAAUAAACCUUUUACUUUAUAACAGUUUAAGCUCAUAGAAUUGCAAAAGAAUUACAGAAAGUCCUUCCUUGUCCUGUAUCCAGUUUCCCUGUUAACUACAUCUCAUUUUAAUAUGGUACAUUGGUCACUAUUAAUGAAUCAGCACUAAUUAUUUUUUAAUGAUUGCUAUUAAAGUAGAUCUUUAAAACUAUUUUACUAUGCUUAUUUAGUGGUGUGUGUGUGUGUGUGUGUGUGUGCAGAGCAGAAGAAACUUGCAAGAACAGUUUCCUUUCUUCUAUAUGUGGGUUCUGCGGAUUGAACCCACGUCAAGCUUAGCAGGAAGCACCUUCACCCAGCGAGCCAUCUUGCUGGCCUUUGAGUGGUAUAAACUGAGGUGCAUAGUUCAUUCCCAUUUCCUUACUUUGGCCUUACUAUAAUUUUUCUGUUCCAGGAGCCUGUCAGGGAUUCCAUAUUAAAUUCCUUUGCAUGUAUCCUUUGUUCUAAGGCAUAUUCCCUUCCUUCCUUCCCCUUUGCCCCCUGUGUGUGUACACGCACUCACACACACACACACACACACACUCACACACACUCACACACAUUCACACACACACACACACACACACACACACACACACACACACACACACACACACACAAACCCUUUUGCCAAGAAGGAAAGCACUGUGCCAAGUUGAGUACUAUAGCAGGAGGUAACAAGCCCCUACCUCCUCCUCCAUGUUUCCAGACUCUGCGACUCUAUGUUUCUAUGUGUCUCCAGGUGCAGAUCACAGGCCAUGCCUUUCAGGGGGGGCAGGGGGAGGAGGGUGAGGGUGGGGGCUCUGAGCACUCUUCUCUCCUUCCAAGCCGAUCAAAGCAUGGUCUUGUAAAAUACGUGUAGUUUCCAACCCUGUGCUCUCGGUUUUGGUUUUGUUUUAACCUUAGAGACAAACGCUGUUUACUCUCUCACCCUCUGCAAAAACUUCCUACCGUGACUCGUUUUGGAGAAGGGUCUCCCUUCAUCCUGCUUUUUUUUUCAAUGCCCCUCUGAGCAAUGAAAGCUUUGGGUGGAUUCACUGUGCAAGAAGUGGAGUCAGCUUGCUGUCUGUGAGGGGAACUUGGAGCAUGUAGAACACAGUCUCAUAGGCGGCUGCUUAACAGUGAAACCUUUGGAAAUGUGUUCGCUGCAGAGGGCUGUCUUUUGACUUCAUUCAUUUUCCUUAUCACCAAAGAAAGCCAGAAUGGGAGAGCUGGCCCUCACAAUGUCAUAAAGUUGUUAAAAGAUUAGAAGAUGGAAGGGGAAUCUCGGGCCUUUCUUGGGAAAAACUAGGGUCCCUUGGCUUCGGACACUGGGUAUAGUUUUUCCAUGCAGUCUUGGGGAGGGGGGCAGGGGCGGGGGCGAUGCAACCUAGGCAGGGGGCAUGUUAAGAUAAGUGGAGACUUUCUGGGGAUGUGGUUCAGUUGGUAGAGCACUUUGCAUCAAACACCCACAAAUCCCACUUUCAGUCCCCAGCACCACAUAUACUAGGUCUGUAAUCCAAUAGCACGGAUGCAGAGGCAUUCAGAUGCUAGGUCAUCUUCAGCUACACAACUGGUUCACCCAGGGCUAUGCGAGCCUCUGUCUUACAAAAAUAAGAUAAAAUAAAAGUGACGAAAACCCACAGAGCCAGCUGUUUCGGAGAAGCUGUUGGCGGGUGGAAGGGACCAGUGUUUCUUAGUGGAUCAUACAGACCAUUUGUUGUGAGAAGAAGGGAGCGGGGAAUCUAAUGCUCUGCGCACUUGGGUACUUAGAUGGGGCGGGGGGGGGGGGGGGGCGGGGCUUCCCCGGUGGUUGGAAUAUUUAUGAACAUAGGCAAUGUGUGCUUCCUCUUAGCUAUAUCUUCCAUCUCACCGGCAUCUGACGAUUGUUUAUGCAAAAUUUCCACAGAACUAUAACAGAAAUUUAUUUUCUCUCUCUUGAUUUAACCCCUUUCCUCUCAGCCACUUGUUUCUCUUUCUGUUUCUUGUCAUCUUUCCUCCUGACCUCCCUCUCUUUCUCUUCAAGCAUCUAUAGGAAUUUGGCCAUCAGCUAAUAUUUCACCUUAAUGCUGCCAUUUCUCUCCUUACAUCGCACAUGUUUCAAACAAAUCCUUGAAUCUGAUUUUCUGAUAACAUUUUUCCUACCAUCCUACAAUAGUUGUACCGUGUGUGUGUGUGUGUGUGUGUGUGUGUGUGUGUGUGUGUGUGUUGUCUCACUAGCUGGUUUUGUAGCUGUAAUGUGGAGAUUUUCAGAGAUUAACUGGGGAGUUCAACUAUUGUAAAUCACUUGCAGUUACUCUCUAAUAUUCACGUUAGCUAAAAUUCAAUUGCUUUUUUUUCUAAUUAAAAAGCUGCCACCUCUAUUUAGGACUUGCUCUAGUAUGCUGUCAGAGAUCUCCCAACACUUCAGCUUACCUGAGCUUUUGGGAUUAGAGUGUUUAGAGCCAUUACCAGAAAGGCCAUUUUAUGUGACCCCUGGUUUCAGACACAAUAGUUAUUGUCCUGCUCUGAGCUUAGUUUUCAGGUCAAGGGACAGUGUCUACAAUGACGAGUUCCCUGGGGGAGACCAGAUCCCUGACUGACACUUGGAAGAGAGAAUCCAUACCUCGUCAAAGUCUUACAUCCAAUGAAGCAGCUCUCCUGGGUUUAGUUGUUGGCGUGCUCCAAUUUUCUACCCUAAGCAUGUUCAUUUUAAGGCCAGAAGACCAUGGACAAAGAAGACGUUGAAGAAUAGGAGGUAAUGACAGAAGGAAGCAUAGGGAGAGGCUGAAGUCCAGAGUGAGUAUAUUGUUGUCAUGAGCAAGACCAUGUUAAGGACCCCUGCUCUGUGUCUACAUGUUGACAGUCUGUGCAAAAAUCAGCAACACUGCUCAACGACACUGCUCCCUGCAUAGGCCCCUGAUCAAGACUGCCUCAUGCCUUUUCAUGUGCUGUACAGGAUAGACAAGCUGGGUUUCUAGGUUGUGUAGUAGGGACCCUCCACCAGAGUGGGCAAAACCCACCAGAUCCCAGAUUUUCUGUAUGUAUCCCUGUCAUUUCUUUUUCCCAGCAUCAUCCCUGUCAGGUUUCCAGGACCAAGAGCGUGAUAUGGCCAGGAAGGCCACAGGUGAUGAUGUGUGAGCAUCUUACUGUAAUGCCCUCAAGCCCCACAGCAUUUCCCUCGGUGAGUCUUGCCUUCUCCACGGAUGUUCUGGGUUCCUCACCCUGGUGAAGGCUGAAUUGGCCUUUCUUAAGUAUAAAAAGGCUUACUGCAAGCUCGGUGGUAUAUUGGAUUGUAAUCACAGCUACUUGGGAGGCUGAGGCAGUGGGAUUCCUGGAGUUGGGGCUAAUCUGUGAGCCACAGGUCCCUGUGAGAAACCCUGUGUCAGACAGCUCCUGAGGAACACCUGAGAUUGACUUCUGGGUUCCACAUUCACACACACACACACACACACACACACACACACACACACACACACCCAUGUAUACAUGUACGGACACACAAAAGCACAGUAAAAAGAAUCCUAACUUGUAGCUCAGGGAUGCAGUACUUGUCUCCUCCUUAACAGAGCAAAAGCAUUCACGUGGUCUUAACUAAACUCAUUCAAGGAUUUCUGAACGAGGUAGAGAGAAAUAGACUAGCCCUGAAAAUAAGUAUAUUUCUUCUUUUAGAAAAGAAAAAGUGACUGUAUAUGAAAGACAACCAUUUAAAACCAAUAUAAACCAGUAGAUGCUCUCUUGUUAUUUCUUUUUACUGUUUUUUAAAUUUAUUUUCUUAUUUAUUCAUUUGAUGAAGGGAUUGGUAUUGGCUCAGGAUCCCCAAGACCAUGUUCUCAGCACCAGGGAGAUUUAUUUGACCCAGAGGGACAGAAGACAGGGAAUAGAGACAAAGACAAGAGAUGGAGGAUGAGGAAGAAGGGGAAAGGAACAGGGAGGGGGAAGAGGGACAUUUGAUUUGUCCCAGAGGACAAAAGACUGCCUCUGGAUAGAGAGGUAACACAUAGGAAAAUGGCAGUCUAUAAUGGUAAAGGGCAAACGACAUGUUAGACUGAGGCAUUUAAUUUUAAUUUAACAUGUUAAUUAGGUGAGCCAAGGAGAGCUUUGGAUUGCUGGACUUCAGUAUUUUGAUAGCUGGACCUUGGUAGUCAGCCUCCUCAGGGAGAAGGAAGUCGUCAAAUAAAAGAAUAAACCUUAGGGGAUAGCUUUAGGAAUGUAAUCAAACACUUUUUAGCAAGGCAGAGGGGAUCGGGGAGAAGGCUUGCCAAAGCUGUGUUUGCCGUGCUUGGAUUAGCUAGAGUCCAUUUAUCUGAUAUGGAAGGUCUCUCUCCAUGCUGUCCACUCUGGCUUUGAGCUUUGAGACUGUGAGUUCCAGCCAUUCUCAUGCUUCGGUCACGUGAGAAGCUUAAGCUACAGGUGUGUGGCAUGGUGCCAAAGUCUUUUUAGUUUUUACGUUAAUGCUUAAACUUCUUUUCCUAAUUACUUGUCACAGCUAACUCAUCUCUCCUCAGAGUCCAUAUGAAAAUCUUCCAACCGUCUUCACACACCUGCUUAGCAAUCAGUACUGUGCUUAAUUCAUUCGUAUCAUAAUUUAUAAUACACUGACCGAAAGCUAGAGCUUCUAAAAGGUAGGCCACUAAUGCAGGUGCCUUCUAACAUUUAGGGACUGGCUAUAGAUGUUUAGAAUGAUUUCAAAGGAUUUUUUAAAAGGUAUUUUUCAAACACUAGACAAAGGCAGGUUAAAUAAUUUAAAAUGUGUAUCCUUUACCCUAAUUGCUUGAGGCUUGUAAUGUGAGAAUUUGGGGUUUCCAGGCUAGGGAUGCUAUGGUGGUUUGAAUGAGGAUGACCCCCAAAGACCCGUAUGCUUCAAUAUUUGACCUCCCCUUAGUAGAACUGUUUGGGAAGGAUCAGAAGGCGUGGCCUUGUUGGAGGAAGUAUGUGAUUGGGAGUGGCCUUGAGGUUUUAAAAGCCCAUAGUAUUCCCAGUGUGCUCUCUCUGCCUUAUGGUUGCCUUUCAGUAUGUAAGCUCUUAGCUACUACUCCAGAGCCAUGUCUACUUGCCUGCUCCCAUGCUCCCUGGCAUGGACUCAUCCUCUGAAACUGGAAGCGACAGUAAACUCUUCCUCCUGAAGUUGCCUAGGUCAUGGUGCCUGCCCAGCAAUAGAAAAGUAACCAAGGCAGAAGUUUAACUUGUAACUUGAAUGCUGCUUUUCUUUUUUUUUCCAUUUUUUUAUUAGAUAUUUUCUUCAUUUGCAUUUCAAAUGCUAUCCUGAAAGUCCCCUAUACCCUACCCCCCACCCUGCUCCGCUAUCCACCCACUCCCACUUCUUGGCCCUGGCAUUCUCCUGUACUGAGGCAUAUAAAGUUUGCACGACCAAGGGGCCUCUCUUCCCAGUGAUGGCCGACUAGGCCAUCUUCUGCUACAUAUGCAGCUAGAGACAUGAGCUCUGGGGGUACUGAUUAGUUCAUAUUGUUGUUCCACCUAUAGGGUUGCAGACCCCUUCAGCUCUUUGGAUACUUUCUCUAGCUCCUCCAUUGGGGGCCCUGUGUUCCAUCCAAUAGAUGACUGUGAGCAUCCAUUUCUGUAUUUGCCAGGCACUGGCAUAGCCUCACACGAGACAGCUAUAUCAGGGUCCUUUCAGCAAAAUCUUGCUGGCAUGUGCAAUAGUGUCUGUGUUUGGUGGCUGAUUAUGGGAUGGAUCCCCGAGUAGGGCAGUCUCUGGAUGGUCCAUCCUUUUGUCUUAGCUCCAAACUUUGUCUCUGUAACUCUUUCCACGGGUAUUUUGUUCCCUAUUCUAAGAAGGAAUGAAGUAUCCACAUGUUGUUCUUCCUUCUUCUUGAUUUUCUUAUCUAGACUGGAAUAAUAAGGACCUCGAGUCUGUUAGGUAUGUUUAUACAAGGGUAGCCUCGUGUACUGAAUUGUAAUUUAAUUUGAACAUUCAUUUUUUAAAGAAGGAGUAGCCCAGGCUGACCUUAAAUCGGAGGUUCCUCUGCCUCAACCUUCCAAGGGCUGGGAUUGCAGGCAUCUACCACCAUGUCUCCUUUGACUAAUUUUUAUACAAUAACUAUUUAAGGUAACAAAUGUUCAGUGUUUUCCUCAUAGGAGAGAAUGAACCUGUAGGUUCUUCAAACACCAAGUAAAAGAUACUGUAACUACCUCCCAAGGGACUCAGAAGAGAAGGCCAUCCCUGUGAGUGUGAAGUGGUGGUCAAGAUGCCGUGGAAAAACACACCUGCCUGGAACAGAUCCCAGUCUGAAGCUUCCCCGCUUAGCUUCCCAACGGGGAUUUGGCAGCCAGCAUCAUUCACUGUGCUGCUGAAGCUCAGAGCUGUAAGUCAGUGCCUGUUUCCAGAGGGCUGUUGACCCUGAAUUCUAUGCCUCCCAAUGCCCUCAUGAGGAUCACAAGAUAGCCCUGAAAAACACAUGCCAGGUAAGGCUCAACACCAUAACAUGCUAGUGUGUGAAUCUGGCGAUUAAGCGCUCUCUUUGUUCAAUUGUAGCAAAAGUGUUCUUACAGAUACCUGGGAUUCAAGCUAGUGGGUUAUUGGCAACAAUGGAGAAGUUUGAGAGUUCAAUGAAGGGCUUAAAAGCAGGAGCAAACCUUAAACUAGGAUGUGAGGUAAGACAGGAUCAUACUCCAAACUCUGAACCAGCUAGCCCUGCAUAUGCAACAUUCAACAGAGACUCUGUCUUCCGUAAGGUAGAAGCUGGAGACCAACACCUGAGGGUGUCCUCUGACCUCCAUAUUGACUGUGUGAUGAGGCACAUGCAUGUCUUGGCACACACCCACUCACAUAUACAAAGACUCACACACAGACAUACACAGAUUUUUUUUUUUGAAGCAAGGGCAGCAAGGAUAACAUUUAUAAGAAGGAGUACAUGUAGUUUCUUUUCCCCUCUUUAAUGCUUAGGUUGUGUAGUGGUUUGUAUAUGCUCAGCCCAGGGAGUGGCACUAUUAGAGGGUGUGGCCCUGUUGGGGUAGGUGUGUCACUGCAGGGGAUGGGUUUUCAGAUCCUCAUCCUAGCUGCCUGGAAGUCAGUCUUCUCCAGCAGCCUUCAGAUGAAGAUAUAGAACUCUCAGCUAUGCCUGCACCAUGCCUGCCUGGAUGCUGCCAUGCUCCCACCUUGAAUAAUGGACUGAAGCUCUGAACCUGUAAGCCAGCCCCAGUUAAAUGUUGUCCUUAUAAGAGUUGCCUUGGUCAUGGUGUCUGCUCACAGCAGUAAAACCCUAACUAAGACAGGAUGUAUGUGUAUAUGUAAGAAGUAGGGUUAGUUAACAUGUUUCUUUUCUAGCAUUUAAAAUAUUUAUCUACUUUUCAUUAUGUGCAUGUGUGCAUGUAUGUCUUUAUGUAUACUAUGUGUGUGCAGGUGCUGUGAGUCCCGAAGAGGAUGUUGGAUCACUUGGACUGGAAUUACAGGUGGUUGUAAGCUACCAGGCUUGGCGCUGGGAACUGAACCUGGAUCCUCUGAGAAAGCAGUAGGGAUUUGGAGUGCUAAGACAUUUCUCUAGCCACAGUAAGAAUUGUUUCUAAGAGUUUUCCACAGACAUUUAAAGAACAAUCCCUGGAAAUCAUGUGAGUGUUUCUCGUGCCUUGCCUACAGCUACAGUUGCUGCUCUAGCCCCACCUUUAAUUAUUUCCCCAACUUUCAUGGCCCAUCUACCUUCGAAUAUGUGUCUAACUGGAUUUUAAAGUCCCAGAGGUUUGGGUCACUUUCCAAUCAUAUCCCUUCACAGAUGCGAACAGCGUGCUUGGUUCUAGGUUGAUGCUGCUGCUGUAUUCAUUUGGGCUAGGGAUGUAGCUCAGUGGUAGAGCACUUGCCCAGGAUGGAUGAGGCCCUGGAUUUGUUCCCCAGCACUACAAAGGGACAGCAAGCAAACAAACAACCGUGUUCUUCCUUCUCGAUGUUAAUGAGAUCACUAACUCUAACAGCUGUAGCCUUUUGCAGUUCUAUUGGACGACCAGAGAGCAUCACUCACAAAGUAACAUCACAUCUUCAUACAUCGGAAGAAAGAAGACGCCAAAUGGAUUUGUAUGACUUCUGAGAUACCUGGAGCCAUGCGCUAAGUCACUGUGCCAUUGUCACAAAGGUAUACUCACAGAGUUAGUUCUAGCAGUAUAAGUUCAUGUCCAUCACAGUGGGAAAAGCAUGGUGGAAGGAGCAGGAGGCAACUGGUCAACCUGAAUCCACAGUCAAGAAGCAGAGAGGUGUGUGCAGUUUCUGAGAAGACCAGCAGAGGGCACAAGACUCCCUGCAUCUGCACUUGCUGGCAGUUGUGAGCUUCCUGAUGUGGGUGCUGGAAACCAGACUGGUCCUCCACAAGAGCCGCAAACGCUCUGAACUACUGAACCAUCACUCCAGCCCUUGUCUUAUUUUUGCUCACAAUAUAUGGAAAUCAGUUUCUUCA